UGUCAUAUUCGGCAUAUUGUUUAUUUUUUGUCCCUCCAAACAAGCAACUAGACCCAGUCCUCUGCUUGAUUGUGAAAUGGCUAAUUAGGACAUCCGAACUCAGAAGGGGUCGGGUGGUAUGCAUGUUUUCCGGAAUGACCCAAUUGGUGACUAGCAUCUCCCCCCUUGAAAAUGUGCUACCAGUACUUUAUUUUCUCAGCAUUCUGCCGGUGUGCUGAGUUUGAUAAUACGUACACCAAAAAUCUCAAUGUUUAUGAGUCGAGUGUAGAUUGCUGAGUGCUUCCCCUAAAAAUUGUCUCGUGAAAGCAAACUAGGUAAUGUAGUGUUAUCGACAACUUUUACUGUCCUCAUGGAAUAUUUCUUUGCCACUCGAAUAUUUUCAUCCUCGUCAUCAAAGAGCAAUAUUUCUUGUGGCUUGAUCUUGAUCUCGGUAUAAACCGCAAACUUCAAUUCGCAUUUGAACGUCAGUUCUACAAGUUUCCUAAGGUUUCGACAAG